GAUGAACGCUGGCGGCGUGCCCAAUACAUGCAAGUCGAGCGAACGGACGAGAAGCUUGCUUUUCUGAUGUUAGCGGCGGACGGGUGAGUAACACGUGGAUAACCUACCUAUAAGACUGGGAUAACUUCGGGAAACCGGAGCUAAUACCGGAUAAUAUUUUGAACCGCAUGGUUCAAAAGUGAAAGACGGUCUUGCUGUCACUUAUAGAUGGAUCCGCGCUGCAUUAGCUAGUUGGUAAGGUAACGGCUUACCAAGGCAACGAUGCAUAGCCGACCUGAGAGGGUGAUCGGCCACACUGGAACUGAGACACGGUCCAGACUCCUACGGGAGGCAGCAGUAGGGAAUCUUCCGCAAUGGGCGAAAGCCUGACGGAGCAACGCCGCGUGAGUGAUGAAGGUCUUCGGAUCGUAAAACUCUGUUAUUAGGGAAGAACAUAUGUGUAAGUAACUGUGCACAUCUUGACGGUACCUAAUCAGAAAGCCACGGCUAACUACGUGCCAGCAGCCGCGGUAAUACGUAGGUGGCAAGCGUUAUCCGGAAUUAUUGGGCGUAAAGCGCGCGUAGGCGGUUUUUUAAGUCUGAUGUGAAAGCCCACGGCUCAACCGUGGAGGGUCAUUGGAAACUGGAAAACUUGAGUGCAGAAGAGGAAAGUGGAAUUCCAUGUGUAGCGGUGAAAUGCGCAGAGAUGUGGAGGAACACCAGUGGCGAAGGCGACUUUCUGGUCUGUAACUGACGCUGAUGUGCGAAAGCGUGGGGAUCAAACAGGAUUAGAUACCCUGGUAGUCCACGCCGUAAACGAUGAGUGCUAAGUGUUAGGGGGUUUCCGCCCCUUAGUGCUGCAGCUAACGCAUUAAGCACUCCGCCUGGGGAGUACGACCGCAAGGUUGAAACUCAAAGGAAUUGACGGGGGCCCGCACAAGCGGUGGAGCAUGUGGUUUAAUUCGAAGCAACGCGAAGAACCUUACCAAAUCUUGACAUCCUUUGACAACUCUAGAGAUAGAGCCUUCCCCUUCGGGGGACAAAGUGACAGGUGGUGCAUGGUUGUCGUCAGCUCGUGUCGUGAGAUGUUGGGUUAAGUCCCGCAACGAGCGCAACCCUUAAGCUUAGUUGCCAUCAUUAAGUUGGGCACUCUAAGUUGACUGCCGGUGACAAACCGGAGGAAGGUGGGGAUGACGUCAAAUCAUCAUGCCCCUUAUGAUUUGGGCUACACACGUGCUACAAUGGACAAUACAAAGGGCAGCGAAACCGCGAGGUCAAGCAAAUCCCAUAAAGUUGUUCUCAGUUCGGAUUGUAGUCUGCAACUCGACUACAUGAAGCUGGAAUCGCUAGUAAUCGUAGAUCAGCAUGCUACGGUGAAUACGUUCCCGGGUCU
rnacentral:rRNA from 1 species